rnacentral:rRNA from 1 species
ACGCACGCUGGCGGCGUGCUUAACACCUGCAAGUCGAACGGAAAGGCCCUGCUUUUGUGGGGUGCUCGAGUGGCGAACGGGUGAGUAACACGUGAGUAACCUGCCCUUGACUUUGGGAUAACUUCAGGAAACUGGGGCUAAUACCGGAUAGGAGCUCCUGCUGCAUGGUGGGGGUUGGAAAGUUUCGGCGGGUGGGGAUGGACUCGCGGCUUAUCAGCUUGUUGGUGGGGUAGUGGCUUACCAAGGCUUUGACGGGUAGCCGGCCUGAGAGGGUGACCGGCCACAUUGGGACUGAGAUACGGCCCAGACUCCUACGGGAGGCAGCAGUGGGGAAUAUUGCACAAUGGGCGGAAGCCUGAUGCAGCAACGCCGCGUGCGGGAUGACGGCCUUCGGGUUGUAAACCGCUUUCGCCUGUGACGAAGCGUGAGUGACGGUAAUGGGUAAAGAAGCACCGGCUAACUACGUG